rnacentral:siRNA from 1 species
GGUGGUGGCUGUUGCUUGGUGUA